CGCCUCAGUCUGUCUUGUCUCUCUCUCUUAUCCUUUCCCCAACCACACCUCUGCUCACUUUGCUGCGCAUUCUCGCCGCCGUCGCCAACAUCGACCGCAGAUCAGCUCCCGCCCGACCACCGCCUCCGCCGCGCGCAUCGACGGCGACCGCGGGACGAGGAGCCACGCAGUUCCCUCGACGCCCUCGCGUGGGGAGCAUGGCAAGCCUGCGGCAGGGCCUCGGGGAGGAGCAUGGCAAGUUCCGGCGGCGGCUGGGCGAUGAGGAGGUGCGGCCACCACCUAUCCACCUGGUGCACCGCCGAUGCCGUCGGAGUUGGUGUUUGGUGCGGGCAGAGAGGAGCGGUGAGAGGGAGAUGGGGGGAGAGGCGGUGGGCGACGCAGGGGGAGGGCGGAUCCGACGAGGCACGCGGACCACCCUGAUGCGCCUUCGGCUUCCAUGCCGGAGCCAGCCGCCCCGUUCCCCGCGACGGCCAUGAGCGCCAAGCUCCUCAAAGCUACAGGCAUGGCGUGGCGGCUACCGCACCGCCGGGGAGGAGAUGCAAGCCACCGCGUUGCCGCAAGGACGAGGUACCGGCCACCGUGCCGCCGGCGUGGAGAAGGGGUAGGCACGGCACCCGUUCUAGAGAAGUGGAGUGUGUUCUACAGGCUUACAUCUCGCUGCGCGUUCUACAAAUUGUGCAGCUCCUUUGUGAGCUGCAGGAGAGGAAAGCGCUGGGUGCUCCCGUCGUCGCACACGGCCGCUGAGGAGAGCCGGCGGCUAUGCAGGACGUCGAGUGGCAGUGGCAGUCACUCCCGCUUCUGCUACGAGUGUGUCAACGGUGUCGUCAGCCAUCGACCCCUCCAUUUCGGGCUUGCUCGAGGUACAAGAUGCAUCCGUCAAUCUCAUCGCUACGAAAUUUGUUGAAGCUGCAAGUCUGAUUAAUCAAUCCAUUCCACCGAUGUUGUUUCAGUAUUUGCCAUGCUUUUGUUUUAAUUGUGUUUUGCACUGACAGUGAGUACAAGUAGUAGAAUAGAGUGUCAAGCAUAUCAGACAUACAUAACCUGGUCCCAUGUUGAUUCAAUCAAAUCUAAUCAAUGAAAAAAAUAGCGCGCUACAAAAAAUAACGUGAUCCCUGAAAAUAUGCUAUUAGCUUGCUAUAGCGCGCUAUAGCGUGCUAUUAGCGAGGCACUAUACAUUGAUUUAUUUAGCGAGACAAUUCUCUAUAUGUUAUAGCGUGCUAUUAGCGGCGUUAUAGCGCGCUAUUUUUUUCAGUGAAUCUAAUUGAUCGUUUGAGACAAUCUCUAUUUUGGUUCAGUAUUGUCAUGUUCAUUUUACUGUCGGAGUGAUCCAUCGAGUCCAUGCAUGCAUUUUUGGUUGAUUGGUUCAGUACAUGUGGCCAUGCAAUUGAAGAAGAAACAGUCUACAAUCAUUGAUCGAGCAUACUAUGGGCAAACAUUUUUUAUUGCCAUGCCAAUUUAAAAAAUUUAUUUGAAAUGGCGAAUUACUUCUAUUGCCAAGACGAAGGCAAUUUUUUCGGCAAAUAAAAAUUGGAAAUUUUAGUUCAGGAAUCAUGGCGAAUUUCUAAAUUUAACCAUGGCAACUCUAUUUUCAUUUGACCAUGGCAAAUUUUGUUCAGAGAUCAUGGCAAGUUUCAAUUUCUCAUUAAGUAACCAUGGCAACCUUUUUUCAUUUAAAUUUGAUCUUGGUAAGUUUAGAAAUUGAUCAUGGCAAUUUUAGUUCGUAGAUAAUGGCAUUUUUUAGUUUCAUGUAUUUCGCUUGGCAACAUUUUUUUAGCCAGGACGAUGGCAAUUUUUAGUAAAUGACCAUGGGAAAUUAAGUUUAUGAUGCAUGGUAAAUUUAAUUAUUUAAACAUGGCAAAAGAAUAUUUAGUAAAUCACGAUGGCAAUUUUUCUGAAUGUUAAGUACAUCCACAACUUCUGUCACGCCCUUGUUUGGCAAAUUUUACUCCAUUUUUUGCCAUGGCAAAAAUACCUUUAUUCACACGGCAAAUUUUAGUUUAAGUUUCCAUGGCAAUUUUUUUUUGUUUAAGUUUCCAUGGCAAACUAAUUGUAAAGAGCAUGGAAAUUUUGUUUUAAAUAUGAUGGCAAAUCUACAUUUCCAGAACAUGGCAAAUUUAACUAUGUAGCACGGCAAGUAUACUUGCAUAGCCAUGUCAGUUUUUUAAUUUAUUUGCCAUGGCAAAAGUACUCCAUUUUUUGCCAUGGCAAUUUUUUACUCCAUUUUUGUCAUGGCAAAUUUAACUCAUUUUUUGCCAUGGAAAAAAUACUUUUAUUUUUCACAUGGCAAAUUUUAGUUUUAGUUGCCAUUGGAAAUUUUAUUUUUAGUUGCCAUGGGAAAUUUAUUGUAAAGAGCAUGGAAAAUUAAUUUAAAUAUUAUGGCAAAUUUACAUUUGUAGAACAUGGCAAGUUUUACUAUGUAGCAUCUUAAAUAUAUUUGUGUAGCCAUGGUAUUUUUUAAUUUAUUUUCCAUGGCAAAAGUACUACAUUUUGCCAUGGCAAAAAUUAAACCAUUUUUGCUAUGACAAAUU